GACGAACGCUGGCGGCGUGCUUAACACAUGCAAGUCGAACGGUAAGGCCCUUCGGGGGUACACGAGUGGCGAACGGGUGAGUAACACGUGGGUGAUCCGCCCUGCACUUCGGGAUAAGCCUGGGAAACUGGGUCUAAUACCGGAUAGGACCACUGCCUGCAUGGGGGGUGGUGGAAAGCUUUUGCGGUGUGGGAUGGGCCCGCGUGCCUAUCGGCUUGUUGGUGGGGUGAGGGCCUACCAAGGCAACGACGGGUAGCCGGCCAGGGAGGGUGACCGGCCCCGCUGGGACUGUGGUACGGGCCAGACUCCUACGGGAGGCAGCAGUUGGGAAUAUUGCACACUGGGCGCAAGCCUGAUGCAGCGACGCCGCGUGGGGGAUGACGGCCUUCGGGUUGUAAACCUCUUUCAGCACCGACGAAGCGCAAGUGACGGUAGGUGCAGAAGAAGGACCGGCCAACUACGUGCCAGCAGCCGCGGUAA
rnacentral:rRNA from 1 species